AGAGUUUGAUCAUGGCUCAGGACGAACGCUGGCGGCGUGCUUAACACAUGCAAGUCGAGCGGUAAGGCCUUUCGGGGUACACGAGCGGCGAACGGGUGAGUAACACGUGGGUGAUCUGCCCUGCACUUCGGGAUAAGCCUGGGAAACUGGGUCUAAUACCGGAUAUGACCUCCUAUCGCAUGGUGGGUGGUGGAAAGAUUUAUCGGUGCAGGAUGGGCCCGCGGCCUAUCAGCUUGUUGGUGGGGUAAUGGCCUACCAAGGCGACGACGGGUAGCCGACCUGAGAGGGUGACCGGCCACACUGGGACUGAGACACGGCCCAGACUCCUACGGGAGGCAGCAGUGGGGAAUAUUGCACAAUGGGCGAAAGCCUGAUGCAGCGACGCCGCGUGAGGGAUGACGGCCUUCGGGUUGUAAACCUCUUUCAGCAGGGACGAAGCGCAAGUGACGGUACCUGCAGAAGAAGCACCGGCUAACUACGUGCCAGCAGCCGCGGUAAUACGUAGGGUGCAAGCGUUGUCCGGAAUUACUGGGCGUAAAGAGUUCGUANGCGGUUUGUCGCGUCGUUUGUGAAAACCAGCAGCUCAACUGCUGGCUUGCAGGCGAUACGGGCAGACUUGAGUACUGCAGGGGAGACUGGAAUUCCUGGUGUAGCGGUGAAAUGCGCAGAUAUCAGGAGGAACACCGGUGGCGAAGGCGGGUCUCUGGGCAGUAACUGACGCUGAGGAACGAAAGCGUGGGUA
rnacentral:rRNA from 1 species